AUUGAACGCUGGCGGCAGGCCUAACACAUGCAAGUCGAGCGGAGCGGCGGACGGGUGAGUAAGGCCUAGGCAUCUGCCUGGUGGUGGGGGAUAAGGUCCGGUACGGGGCGCUAAUACCGCUUACUCUCAGAUGAGCAUAGGCCGGAUUGGGAUGGUGGUGGGGUAAAGGCCUACCAAGGCGACGAUCAGUAACUGGACUGAGAGGAUGAUCAGUCACACUGGAACUGAGACACGGGCCAGACUCCUACGGGAGGCAGCAGUGGGGAAUAUUGGACAAUGGGCGAAAGCCUGAUCCAGCCAUGCCGCGUGUGUGAAGAAGGUCUUCGGAUUGUAAAGCACUUUAAGUUGGGAGGCGUUACCAACAGAAUAAGCACCGGCUAACUUCGUGCCAGCAGCCGCGGUAAUUC
rnacentral:rRNA from 1 species